rnacentral:rRNA from 1 species
AGUCAGAGGCGAUGAAGGACGUGCUAAUCUGCGAUAAGCGUCGGUAAGGUGAUAUGAACCGUUAUAACCGGCGAUUUCCGAAUGGGGAAACCCAGUGUGAUUCGUCACACUAUCAUUAACUGAAUCCAUAGGUUAAUGAGGCGAACCGGGGGAACUGAAACAUCUAAGUACCCCGAGGAAAAGAAAUCAACCGAGAUUCCCCCAGUAGCGGCGAGCGAACGGGGAGCAGCCCAGAGCCUGAAUCAGUGUGUGUGUUAGUGGAAGCGUCUGG